rnacentral:tRNA from 1 species
GUCAUCUUAGCUCAGUUGUAGAGCAUGUGGCUUUUAACCAUGUGAACGUGGGUUCGAUUUCCACAAAUGAUG